GCCCUUAGAGUUUGAUCCUGGCUCAGGAUGAACGCUAGCGGCAGGCCUAACACAUGCAAGUCGAGGGGUAACGGGAAGUGCUUGCACUUUGCCGACGACCGGCGCACGGGUGCGGAACGCGUAUGGAACCUGCCCCUGUCAGGGGAAUAGCCCAGAGAAAUUUGGAUUAAUGCCCCAUGGUAUCCCAUCACCUCAUGGUGUAGGGAUUAAAGAUUUAUCGGACAGGGAUGGCCAUGCGUACCAUUAGCUUGUUGGUGAGGUAACGGCUCACCAAUGCAACGAUGGUUAGGGGCCCUGAGAGGGGGAUCCCCCACACUGGUACUGAGACACGGACCAGACUCCUACGGGAGGCAGCAGUGAGGAAUAUUGGACAAUAGGCGGGAGCCUGAUCCAGCCAUGCCGCGUGCAGGAUGACUGCCCUAUGGGUUGUAAACUGCUUUUAUACGGGAAGAAACGCACCUACGUGUAGGUGUCUGACGGUACCGUAAGAAUAAGGACCGGCUAACUCCGUGCCAGCAGCCGCGGUAAUAAGGGCG
rnacentral:rRNA from 1 species